GACGAACGCUGGCGGCGUGCUUAACACAUGCAAGUCGAACGGAAAGGCCCUGCUUUUGUGGGGUGCUCGAGUGGCGAACGGGUGAGUAACACGUGAGUAACCUGCCCUUGACUUUGGGAUAACUUCAGGAAACUGGGGCUAAUACCGGAUAGGAUCUCCUGCUGCAUGGUGUUGGUUGGAAAGUUUCGGCGGUUGUGGAUGUACUCGCGGCUUAUCAGCUUGUUUGUGGAGUAGUGGCUUACCAAGGUUUUGACGGGUAGCCGGCCUGGGAGCGUGACCGGCCACAUUGGGACUGAGAUACGCACCAGUAUCCUACGGGAGGCAGCAGUCGGGAAUCUUGCACAAUGGGCGGAAGCCUGAUGCAGCAACGCCGCGUGCGGGAUGACGGCCUUCGGGUUGUAAACCGCUUUCGCCUGUGACGAAGCGUGCGUGACGGUAAUGGGUAAAGAAGCACCGGCUAACUACGUG
rnacentral:rRNA from 1 species